CCUUGGAAGAUAGACAAUACUCUGUGUUUUGCAGUUAUUUGGUUGUUUGGUUUUUGCAGUUUUUUAGUGUGUGUUUAACAGGGAUUUAUUAUCUGGGCUUUGUUGUGACCAACCUGGGCUUAUUUUCAUCAUUGCCUUGCAGGAUGUCUCCUGAUGACAGAAGCAUUGAUAAGCAUUUAACAAAAGAAAACGUGGAUCUCUGGGGGCAUUCAGACAGUUUGGUACUAAAAAUGGAGCAGUAGAGAGGGAAGGUGGUUUCCCCUCUUCCGUGCCACGCUUGAACCUGUAAACUAAUUAUUUGAUGGGGGAAACACAUCUCCUGGAGAAAUCUAAAGAUCCGUAUUCGGUCCAUAUCCCUGAUACACAGCCAACAGUGGUUUUUACUGUGAAGUGACUCUUACUUGUGAGAAGGAAGCAGUCUAUUUUAAGAAUAAUGAUUACACUAAGAGUAGGAGAAAUGCAAUUGCAAAUAAUGUCCAAAAAGUCAAAUAUAUCUUGGUAUCGCGUGGUACUUGAAGACAUUUGCACAGCUCCAUUAAUGACUGGACAACUAAUAACUGUAUCUGUUACUGUAAGAGAAGACACGGUGGAAUUCUCCCUGGACAUCAUUCAUCUAUGAAUCCAGGGCAGAGAUCAUGAUUAUCUCAAGACUGGCACCUCCUGUCUAUCCCAGACAGCACCAUCUUGCAUAGAAGUUUGGAUAAUGCACCUGAACAGUGAAGACUUGACCUCUGUCAGCCCAUGAAUGUUUCAUUUUGCUUUUGUUCACAGAUGCCUAAAUCAUUACCCUAAGUUCAGACUGAAAAAGGGUCCAGGGGUUAACAGGCUCAUAUGUUUCUUCUAAUGACAUCAGCUAAUAAAAGAUGCUACUUUCUCUCUGAACCCUCCUCACUAUUGGUGUGCUACCUGUCUGAAUCCGGGCUAGGGAUACCACCAAAGAAUUUGGAAACUGACCUGAAUUUAUUGAUUAGGAUCAUCAUAUUCUUAACAGAAUGCCGGUGGCAGACAAAAACGGUGUAUGGAACUGCAAAGUACUGUUUUUGUUCCUGGAAGUUUGAUUUUACAGACCUUCUUAAAAUUAAUUUUUGUUAAUCCUGUAUCACAAUGUAACAUGACUCCAAAAGAUACCUUAAUAAAGCCAGUGCAGUCCACAUUAUUACCAAGUAAAUGUACAAACUGUCAAAUCUUCAUGAAUUAAUUAACUUCUCAUUUUAUUGAGGAUGGUGUCAAUCCACUUGUCAUAGGAACUCUUAUCCUGAAAUUAUAGAACUAGGGACAUAAGUAGAAAUGUUCCCAGUUCUAUAAUUUGGAAAUAGAAUGAACAAGUAUACCUCAGUAUUUUUAUUUUAGGCCUAAGUGUCAUUUUUGAAAAUUACUUAAUGCUGAGGAAUCUGCCUCCCCUAUGUGAUACUUGCUCUGCUUUUUCUGGAUCAUCACAAGUAGAACACUACCGAACACAGCCUGACAGGUGGCUGGAAGACUCCUUCAGAAUAGACAAGACCCAACAUGUAUGGCAGUUGUCUAUGCUGUUUGUCAAAUAAUCAUAAAUGCCUCUACAGCCUUUGGGAUACUGUGAGUUACCCUUGGGUUUACACAGUGCUGGAUGGCAGGCAGGUCAGGCAAAGUUUUAUGCCUACUUCUGUUCUCAAAAUUAAAUGUUGAACAGAUAUAGGUAAUGAGUUUCAGAGUGUUCACUAAUUGUAUCUUGGCUUUCAAGUGCCUCCAGUACUAGCAGUUUUGUGAGUGUGGAAAGGAAAAAAUUUCCUUCUGUAAUACUACAGCAUAUAUUGCUUGGAAUACUUAAUUUAAGUGAUUUGGGCUGACAAAAAAAUCUUGCUUGAACAUCCUCCCUGGGGAAGCUGCUGAAUUCAAGGAGAAACCUUGUUACUAUAAGCAAAAACUGUUUUCAGAAUAUUCUUCUAGCCUUCUGUAGUUUACUGUUUCUCUUUCCCAGUUUUGAAUUCCAGUGUAUGGAGAAAUUUAAAUGAUUUAUUAAAAGAUGCAAUCUGGGAUGCAGUGUGAGAAAUCAUACAGUCACAAUUUGUUCUUAGUUUUAAGAGGCAUGUGUCUCCAAGAGACCUUUCUUCACUGAAGGUUUAGUUGUCCUUUUGUAUAGAUAAUUUCAUAGACCACUUGAUGUCACCCUUGUGCUCCCCUAAAACAAACACACAGCAGUAAAAGAAAAAGAAUGUAGUUUUAAAGUUCUGGAUGUGCUAUGAGAAGAUAAAUGAUAGGUUAUUACCAGAAUAUGGAUAUUCUAGGAUAGUUUAUA